UAAUUAAUUCACUGAAAAAAUUAGAAAAAACAUACACAAAUCUAUUUAUUAAUACAAGUUUUCCAACCCACUAAAAGCGUCGAAUAAUGCUACUUAUAGCCGCCAAUAUUGUUUAAGCCAACUAACCAAGCGUAAAUAUUAUACACAAGCGUCUCCAUUGCAGUCCCAGCGGGAGUAUACGCCAACUCCUCAAGCGGUUUUAGUCAAAAUACAGUGGGGUGCUAGAGGGUGAAGCGCGAAGUGCGGCGCAGCUGCGACAGCAACUGAAAUAUGCGUGAAUGCACUUUGUGCGGGUACUUACAAUCGAUUCCCUGGGUGCCGAUGCGAGUGCAAGUGGAGCGAGCACUGCAAAAGGAUUGCAGUUAAGUGGCUGAGCUGCUGAAAAGUAGCAAAUGGCAUUGAAGAAACAGCAGCAACAACAAAGCAUUGACAAAAGGUUGAACAUAAACUAUAGAAAUAGCAAAUCGUUGCCACUUUUACUGCUGCCACUCUCUUUCGCUGAGUUUUUGAUAUCGAUCUAAAAUUUCGCAGACGUUAUUUUCUCCGCAAGAAGCUGCUAACUUGUCGGAACAGCCAAUAUCGGAACACCAUAUGAUAUAUCUGCCAUAGAAAUUGAUCAACCAAAGUCAAGUUCUUGUAUGGAAAACUGUUUUAUUUGGCAAGAUAUUUUCACGAAAUUUUGUAUGGAUUUUUGUCCAAGGCGAAUAUUAUAGCAAAUAUGUAUUGUAGCUGCAUUUCAGGCUGACCGAUCAAAACCAAGUAUACAAAUCAGGAAGCAGUCAAUGGAUCCAGAAAAAAAGCUUUACGUCGUCGGCGUAUGAGAAUUUUAUUACUGGAGAGAUAUCGUUAAUAAACCACAAGAUCAGAAUCGGGCCAAGAUGACUACCUUGCGGAACACCUGAAGAAACAUUAAUUGUAUCUGAAGGUGUAUCCUCAAAUAUCACUCGUUGUGUUGGCUGAAAGCCCAGCAAAUCAAGUUUAUGUAGGAGAAUCGAGACAUUUACUUUAUCGAAAGCUUUGCUAAGCUACUUCUUCAUUGUUGUGUUAUUACAUUACUCAGUACCAGCAAUGGUUUGCUAGUUAUAUCUUAACUAAAAACACAUAAAGUGGAUGGAACGCAUGAGUUGUCUCCUGCUAUAUGCUAUAGAGAUCCGAGCAAUAUCGUGACGAUACCUUUCCAAAUAAGCAGUUCUCCACACAAGGUCUUGAGUUUUACCGGUCAGUUUGCAUGGAAGCUAUAUGCUAACAUGUAGUUGUCCAAUAUCGGCGUUUCCGACAAAUAAGCAGCUUGGUGAGAAAAGAACGUGUGCAUAAUUUCAGGUCGAUAUCGUAUAGUUCGUAUAUAGAUAUAUAGACGGACAUAGCUAAGCAUUCCCAUAUUGAUAUUUGACCGUCUUUGACGUCGCACCAACCUAUUCACGAAGGGAUGCAUCAAGUAAUUUGUUUUUGGGCCUUACCGCGCAUAACCAAAAAUGCACACAAACGCACUUGUGAUUACAUGCUCAUUUUUGGCUCCUCUAACGAGUGCUGAAGUCUGGUAUUAAGUUUCGUGCAGUGGAUGGCGAAUGCUUCAACGCCUUCGCUACGGUCCACUGAAGGAUUAAUGAUCAUCAAUUCGACCGCAAAAUAAAUCCAAAGGCAAACAAGCGAUUGCGGGCUGCUACCGAAUCGAUGGGCAAUGAAAAUACAAAUUUUUAUAGCCAAACCGAGUAUUUGGUUAGAUGGAUUGACGAAGUACACACGAACCGCUAUGGAUAUAUCCCCAAUAAACUCGUAUGUGCACAAGUGUGUGUCUGCAUAUUUGCGCACACCAACAUUUAUUUGACCAAUUGACCGUUUCUUUUUUGCCGUAUCGCCUGUUUGUUUGCCAUCCACUAUAAUCGCUUACUCGUUAUCAUAUCCUAUUCGAUUUUCACUUCUGACAUUCGCACAUGUUCGCUUAACCCCCUGAGUGGGGUGGGAGAAGCAUUUUAGGCAAAUAAAAAGGGAAAAGGAAGUAAAGGAGAAAGGCAGGAAAUGCCGAAACAAAAUACUGAAAAAAGACAUUUGAUGGCGGAGCUGUGUACGGUUAUGUGUGUGUGUGUACAUAUGUAGCUGCUACUCACAUGUCUAAUGCGGGAUUCGCCUGCUUAAAUACUUAUAUUGUCUAUCACUGGAUAUACACACCGCUACUUAAGAUAACGUUUAACAUGUGUGUGGAUGUUCAGUUAUAUUUGCUGAAAAAGGAUUCAUUUCAGUUUCCUCCUGGAAGAAGGCGCGCAAGAGGCACGGAGAGUUUAGAGAAUGUACAGCAAAUGUCAUGCAAACAAACACAAAAUGAGUAAAACAAACCAAACUAUUGACUGUUAUACACUCACCCUCACACCAACACAUAAUCAAACAAGUUGAGAGCCAGUCACUUUGACAAGCAUUGGACUGCAGUAAACCUUAGACAAGCAGUCCAAUUCAAAGGCAGGCAUUAAACGUUCGACGGACACUCAAAGUAAAUCCGUGAUCAUUGCGGAUAUAAUCUGCUCAGGCAAUUGAGUAGUUUCACCAAAACGAUUGGAUGAAAGGAAAAUAUAAAAUUUAUGUUAAACCAGCAACUCGGUAUUGAAAUGAGGGACGGCAUAUCAAGGCCUUUACGAACAGCUGCAAGCGAAGAUGACUAGAUAUUCAGCAUAAGAAAAACAUUGGAAAAAUGAUGAGAACAUCGACUCACAUCACCUUUUAGUCCAUUUUAAAGUCGCCUUCGACAGAGGGCACAAAAUUAAUACGGUUGUGUAAAUUGACGUUAAGCAACCGACCGGUUCGAUACCAAAUGAGGUUUCAGACGAUAAUUUUUUAUAAGAGUGUACAGCUACUGGCGAUAGCCGAUUAUAUUGAUAUCAUUGGCCUCAACAACCGUACUGCUAGUUCUGUGCGGUACAGUAUAUUCAGACUGAAUAAGAAAGCGCGUCUGAUAGUGAAUGAGGACAAGACGAAAUAUCAAACAAACAGUCGUAUUUGCUACUUGGCUCACACGACUUUGUAGACUUGGAAGUCAUAGAUAAUUUCGUCUUACUUGGCACGAGCAUUAAACUUAACAACAAUUUCAGAGUUGAAAUCUUACACAGAAUCACUCUUACCAAUAGGUGCUACUUUAGACUGAGUAGAAUAUUGAAACAAAGACCAAACUCUAAAAGUGCCUCAUCAUUCCCAUUGCAGUAUGGUACGCAGGCAUUAACAAUGACAACAUGUGAUGAGUCGGCGUAAGGAGUUUUUGAGAGAAAGGUUUUGGAAAAGAUGUAUGGUUCUUUCCGCAUUGGCAACGGCGAUACCGCAGUCGAUGGAAUGAUGAGCUGUAUGAUAUACUCAGGACAGAUCGAAUGGAUAAGAACACUCUAUCUUUGAACGUAUUCGAUUCCCGUACCGUACCCGCCGUUGGAAGCAGAGGAAGGCUCCCACUCCGUUAGAGAGAUGAUGUAGAGAAGGAUUUGGCUCCGUUUGUUAUCUCCAAUUGGCGCAAAAUAGCGAAAAGAAGAAACGAUUGGUUGGAUUAACUCGGCUAUAACCGACAAAAAUAAAAGGUUUCAAUUUAAAUGUUAAUUAAAUUUGUUUAAUUCAUUUUUGCAACCUGAUGUUAAUUGUUACAUUAAUUGUAAUAUACUUACCAAUUUUAUUAAUAUCUCGCAUUGUUACCAACACAUACGGAGUAAAGUUCACCAGACUAACUGAGAACAAUAAAUUCGUACCGAAUAAAGAUAAAAGAUACGGCUUUAUUUGGCCGGGUAUAUGUGAUCUAGAAGAAGGUAUGAUGUUUUCCGCUUCUAAUUUCAUUAUAACCUGAAACAGAUAUACGAGUAUUAAGUUUGCCACAAAGUUUG